GACGAACGCUGGCGGCGCGCCUAACACAUGCAAGUCGAACGAGCGAGAGAGAGCUUGCUUUCUCGAGCGAGUGGCGAACGGGUGAGUAACGCGUGAGGAACCUGCCUCAAAGAGGGGGACAACAGUUGGAAACGACUGCUAAUACCGCAUAAGCCCAGGGCUCGGCAUCGAGCAGGGGGAAAAGGAGCAAUCCGCUUUGAGAUGGCCUCGCGUCCGAUUAGCUAGUUGGUGGGGUAACGGCCCACCAAGGCGACGAUCGGUAGCCGGACUGAGAGGUUGAACGGCCACAUUGGGACUGAGACACGGCCCAGACUCCUACGGGAGGCAGCAGUGGGGAAUAUUGCGCAAUGGGGGAAACCCUGAUGCAGCGACGCCGCGUGGAGGAAGAAGGUCUUCGGAUUGUAAACUCCUGUUGUUGGGGAAGAUAAUGACGGUACCCAACAAGGAAGUGACGGCUAACUACGUG
rnacentral:rRNA from 1 species